GAGGAAUAUUGGUCAAUGGGCGAGAGCCUGAACCAGCCAAGUAGCGUGCAGGAUGACGGCCCUAUGGGUUGUAAACUGCUUUUGUAUGGGGAUAAAGUUAGGGACGUGUCCCUAUUUGCAGGUACCAUACGAAUAAGGACCGGCUAAUUCCGUGCCAGCAGCCGCGGUAAUACGGAAGGUCCAGGCGUUAUCCGGAUUUAUUGGGUUUAAAGGGAGCGUAGGCUGGAGAUUAAGUGUGUUGUGAAAUGUAGACGCUCAACGUCUGAAUUGCAGCGCAUACUGGUUUCCUUGAGUACGCACAACGUUGGCGGAAUUCGUCGUGUAGCGGUGAAAUGCUUAGAUAUGACGAAGAACUCCGAUUGCGAAGGCAGCUGACGGGAGCGCAACUGACGCUUAAGCUCGAAGGUGCGGGUAUCAAACAGGAUUAGAUACCCUGGUAGUCCGCACAGUAAACGAUGGAUGCCCGCUGUUGGUACCUGGUAUCAGCGGCUAAGCGAAAGCAUUAAGCAUCCCACCUGGGGAGUACGCCGGCAACGGUG
rnacentral:rRNA from 1 species